GAUGAAGAACGUAGCAAAAUGCGAUAAGUAAUGUGAAUUGCAGAAUUCAGUGAAUCAUCGAAUCUUUGAACGCACAUUGCGCCCGCUGGUAUUCCGGCGGGCAUGCCUGUUCGAGCGUCAUUUCAACCCUCAAGCCCCCGGGUUUGGUGUUGGGGAUCGGCUCUGCCCUUCUGGGCGGUGCCGCCCCCGAAAUACAUUGGCGGUCUCGCUGCAGCCUCCAUUGCGUAGUAGCUAACACCUCGCAACUGGAACGCGGCGCGGCCAUGCCGUAAAACCCCAACUUCUGAAUGUUGACCUCGGAUCAGGUAGGAAUACCCGCUGAACUUAAGCAUAUCAAUAGGGAGGA
rnacentral:misc_RNA from 1 species